CUGCUGUUGGGUGUUGUAUCGUUGAUGGCUGGGUCGACGAUGCUUCCAGGAUAUGGUGGAUACCAAACCGCAACGCCGCCGCCUUAAGUCCCGAAGUAUAACUCUGCUUAGAGCUGCAUCACUAAAGAGCCGAAGUACUGCACCGAGGCUCCCAAUUACUACACCACUAAGGCAUAGGAACGACUACGUAUGCUGCCCAUGUCAACUACACCGAAGCGCCUAAGUACUACACUACAACCUACGCUACCCCGAGCUGCUACACCGUCGCCCCGAAGUAAUACUCUGCGUAAAAGAAUUCGUAUAAAAGGAGUGAGAAAAGGUGGUCGAAAUCAAUCGAGUGACGAUCUCCGACACGGCAACAAUUGCAGUGCACUAUCUGUCAUCAAUUACAUUCCUCAUCGUGUAACCAGUUCGUAAUCAUGGUUAACUAUAGCGUCGUGCUGCUGUUGGGUGUUGUAUCGUUGUUGGCUGGGUCGAACACUGGUGUACCGACGUUUCCAGGAUAUGGCGGAUACCAAACCGCAGUGCCGCCACCUUACUAGACAACUUACGAGUUGGUUACUGCUGCAACGACCAGUUGCGACCGAGGCCCCCAAGUGCUACACCAUUAAGGCACCGGAGUUUUAUACCACAACUAACGCUGCCCCGAGCUACUACACCGACGCCCCGAAGUAUUAAUACUCUGCCGCGACUUUUCAGUCAGAUUUUCAGAGCCUGAUUGAAGUGAUUAACGAAUUUGACGAAUGUGACUCCAUUUCCCGCCAUAAACUGGAGUUCUACUGUCGGGCACUAGAGUUCUAUACUUCUAUUGUCGGGUAUUUUUAAUAACAUUUGGAGGAAUCUUUUGGCUCCGUCAGUAGGUGGCUAAAAUCAAGUUGUCCCCCAGCCCGGCCAGCCGCCAGAUGACGCGAGUGUCUUUGAGAGGACGAAAUUUUCGCCAUUUUGUUCCAAAACGCCAAGGGAAAAGGUAUUCCAAAUUCGUUACGGAAUUGCGGUGUCGAUCUACAUUUUCAGCAUUGAAAUUUUUAUGGCAAUCUGGCAUAUAAUUUCCACUUGGCCAAAUAAUCGAUCACGUGGACUGAAACUGCUUUCCAAUUUCGCCUAAAUGUCGUCCGUUGUUAGCUGUACCUGUUCGGAUGUACGUCUCAUCUCACGCAGAAACAAUACAGAGUUGGUGUUCAGGUUGGAGAUCCCGUUGCUUAACUGUUGCAGAAUGUGAGAACUCAACGAAGUCUGAGCUCCAUGGCUGGCAUCAUGGCCACAGUGGUUUUGUUGCAGCCAGCUGGUAAAAGGUGUGAUCGAGUGAAGUUGAGCUGCAACUGCUGCAUGCAGUUUAUCGAGCUGGUGUUAUCCUGAAGUGUCAUUGCAGGAAGACUUUUUGAAAUGGACUUGGUGAGACUUAAAGCUAUGCCUAUGCUGUUCAAUGUGCAGUGGUUUUGCAGCUUGUUUCCAGUUGAGAGAUGUCAUUAUGCAGCUGAUACAGGAUUGAAGAAAAAGAACUGAAGUAGCUGUGCUGGAGUUCUCCUGAAAUUGCUGUGCCACAGGAGUUGCAAAUAGUGUUUGGUUCUUCAUAUAAGUUUAUUUGAAGAGUCAGGAGAUGAUCAUCCACUUCUGCCUAUAACUUAUGUAAAACUUCAAAGUUGUAAGAAAUAUACAAGUCAAGUGCUAAA